rnacentral:rRNA from 1 species
AUUGAACGCUGGCGGCAGGCUUAACACAUGCAAGUCGAGCGGAUGAAGGGAGCUUUCUCCUGGAUUCAGCGGCGGACGGGUGAGUAAUGCCUAGGAAUCUGCCUCGUUGGGGGUUAUAACGUCCGGAAACGGGCGCUAAUACUGCAUACGUCCUGAGGGUGAAAGUUGGGGAGCUUCGGACCUCUCGCUCUCAGAUGAGCCUAGGUCGGGUUAGCUAGUUGGUGGGGUAAGGGCCUACCAAGGCGACGAUCCGUAACUGGCCGGAGAGGAAGAUUGGCCACACUGGAACUGAGCCACGGUCCAGACUCCUACGGGAGGCAGCAGUGGGGAAUAUUGGACAAUGGGCGAAAGCCUGAUCCAGCCAUGCCGCGUGUGUGAAGAAGGUCUUCGGAUUGUAAAGCCCUUUAAGUUGGGAGGAAGGGCAGUAAGUUAAUACCUUGCUGUUUUGACGUUACCAACAGAAUAAGCACCGGCUAACUUCGUG